rnacentral:lncRNA from 1 species
UCAUCAAGUGUAUCGCAUUCGCGUAGGUCUGGGAGCUAGCAUCGCAUUCGCAUAGAGUAUUUUUGGAUCCUUGGAAUUUUGUUCUUCGCAAUUGCGAGGCUUAGGCCGCAAUCGCGAUGAAAAGAUAUCAGAACUGGGCAGAAAGUUUACAAGUUAUUUCAUCUGUGAUUUUGAGUCAUUUUUCCUCCAUAUCUGAGCAUUUUCAAAGCUUUUUGAAGUGGGUUGAAGAAGGAUUCAAGGGGAAUUACUUGGAGGGAACAUUUUUGACUUCAUAACUUAUUUUUAUGUGAUUAAAU